rnacentral:rRNA from 1 species
GAUGAACGCUAGCGGCAGGCCUAAUACAUGCAAGUCGGACGGGAUUCAGGAGCUUGCUUCUGAUGAGAGUGGCGCACGGGUGCGUAACACGUAUGUAACCUACCUUUAUCAGGGGGAUAGCCUCUCGAAAGAGAGAUUAAGCCCGCAUAAAAUCACAGCACAGCAUUGUGUAAUGAUCAAAUAUUUAUAGGAUAAAGAUGGGCAUGCGGAACAUUAGCUAGAUGGCGGGGUAACGGCCCACCAUGGCGACGAUGUUUAGGGGAUCUGAGAGGAUGGCCCCCCACACGGGUACUGAGACACGGACCAGAAUCCUACGGGAGGCAGCAGUAAGGAAUAUUGGGCAAUGGGCGGUAGCCUGAACCCGCCAUGCCGAGUGCAGGAAGACGGCCCUACGGGUUGUAAACUGCUUUUAUACGGGAAUAAACCCAGAUACGUGUAUCUGGCUGAAUGUACUGUAAGAAUAAGGAUCGGCUAACUCCGUG